GCCCUCCUCCAGGGGAUCUUCCCCACCCAGGGAUUGAACCCAUGUCUCUUGCAGCUCCUGCAUUGCAGAAGAACUAUGUUGGGAUCUUACAAAAACUUCAAAGCCCAGGCCUGGAGACUUGAUUCCAUGGGUCUGGAGUGGGACAUCGGCAUUUGAACUAUGUCCCAGGUGGUUCUGAUUCUGCCAGUUAACUGUGUCCAGAACAGCAUCUCUAUCUGCCUGCAUAUUAGAGUCAUCCAGAUUUUUUUUUUUUUAAAUCCCCAUGUCCAGGCCAGUUAAAACCAGACUCUCCAGGGUGGAGCCGGAGUAUCAGUGCUAGAGAAGUUCCGGGUGACUCUAGCACUGCUCCCUGGCCUCCACCAAAUGCCCACUAACAUUGGCCUGUCACUCAUCCUCUCCCCACAACCCCUCUGCCCAAGCCCACAGCCCCUCAGCUUCCUUAGUGCAAACCUCAACCCUUAGGACCAUCAAAGCCCCGCCACUCCUCCGGACCCAUUUCAAGCCUCAGCUGUCAUGUGGCGGCUUUGUCCUUCUCUGGGAGUUCUCACCUUCUUCCUGCUCCCAGGCUGUCUUAGAGUAUGACCUGAUAGCUCCGUGUCUCAGGUAGAGCAGGGGACACGCCCGGCACUUCUGCAUUCCUCAAGCAGCCCAUGACAAGGUCUAUUCAGUUCCAUUCUAGGUCUAUGCUGGGAACUGGGCAUUGGGAAGGGGGCUAGAAAUGAAGAACAACCCUCAAGUCUCAUGGUCUCUAGAGAAUGGGCUGUGAAGCAGGAAGCCAUCACUUCCAAAGGACCACAUAAAACUUCCCCUAGGUGCGGAAUGUCACAGAAUCAGAUGUCAGCAUUAGAAGGAGCUUUAUUUAAUAACUCGGGUUUCCUUGUGGCUCAGACAGUAAAGAAUCUGCCUGCAAGGCCGGAGACCCCGGUUUGAUCCCUGGAUCCGGUAGAUCCCCUGGAGGAAAUGGCUACCCACUCUAGU
rnacentral:lncRNA from 1 species